CCUACGGGUGGCUGCAGUGAGGAAUCUUCCACAAUGGGCGAAAGCCUGAUGGAGCAACGCCGCGUGCAGGAUGAAGGCCUUCGGGUCGUAAACUGCUUUUAUAAGUGAAGAAUAUGACGGUAACUUAUGAAUAAGCACCGGCUAACUACGUGCCAGCAGCCGCGGUCAUACGUAGGGUGCAAGCAUUAUCCGGAGUGACUGGGCGUAAAGAGUUGCGUAGGUGGUUUGUUAAGUGAAUAGUGAAACCUGGUGGCUCAACCACACAGACUAUUAUUCAAACUGGCAAACUCGAGAGUAGCAGAGGUAACUGGAAUUUCUAGUGUAGGAGUGAAAUCCGUAGAUAUUAGAAGGAACACCAAUGGCGUAGGCAGGUUACUAGGCUAUUUCUGACACUGAGGCACGAAAGCGUGGGGAGCGAACCGGAUUAGAUACCCGGGUAGUC
rnacentral:rRNA from 1 species